rnacentral:rRNA from 1 species
CACGCCGUAAACGAUGUCAACUAGCUGUUGGGUUCCUUGAGAACUUAGUAGCGAAGCUAACGCGAUAAGUUGACCGCCUGGGGAGUACGGCCGCAAGGUUAAAACUCAAAUGAAUUGACGGGGGCCCGCACAAGCGGUGGAGCAUGUGGUUUAAUUCGAAGCAACGCGAAGAACCUUACCUGGCCUUGACAUGCUGAGAACUUUCCAGAGAUGGAUUGGUGCCUUCGGGAACUCAGACACAGGUGC